UUUGAAUUUUAGAAGUCUGGAAUGGCCAUUUCCUGCGAUUUCACGGCGAAAUACUCCAAAGGGAACAUCAAAAAAUUGCGUGAUUAGCGGAAAAUUUUUGAUAAUUUUUUUAGAAAAAAAAUUUAUAACUUUUUGAAAUCCAUGCAUUUUUUAUUAUAUUUCACUAUAUAUUUUUCAGCUUAACUGAAAAUGUAGCUAAAUAUAGUCAAGUCACGAAAGAGGAAAAUAUCAUGUAUACAAUACGCGUCUGUAAUACGAUCUUUCACUUGAUCAACACAAAACAAUCCAACCUCAAAUAAUCAACAAUUGCAUAACUAUUAUACUGUUGAACACGGCGUUUUAUACACUAUAACGCUACGGCUAGCAUUCGUUAAAAAUUCACUACGUUUGUUAGUAAUGUGACAGAUCACUACGCCUGGCACUCUGAAUGUAAUUCAGUACCCUAUGCCUAUGGUAUUAAUAAUAUAGCGUUUAAUAUAGUCUAUGCGGCCAAAUAUCUACAUAAACAGUGUGAAUUGGUACAGUAUAUCAUUUUUAAAAUUAAACUCCAUAUAAGUGCUCGUUUCAAAUGCACAAAGCAGAUGAACUGGCAGUAAAUAUCACGUUCUUACUUUAUAUCAAUACGACAGGCUUCACAAAUGAAGUUUGUAUUCCCCAUUUAAUAUAUUGUAUUAUGAAAAUACACAAUCAUCAGUCGAGUCUGUUCACAUGCAUUUCGUGAGCUAAAAUAUCUUAGCAGAAGCCAGAAAUUAUAUCAAAAUCACAUUGGGCUUCCACACUCGUUGAUUUCCAUAUUCAUAACUUGAGUAAUCUCGACAGAAUUAGUGAAAAGUGGGUUUAGUCACGCGGAAAGCUCGCAAGUAAAGAUAAUACAAGGCCAAGUCCUGCCAUUUCGAGAGAGCAGGACUUCGCAUUUGUAAACAGUCGGUUUGAGCAUGCGCAGACCUAAUUAUCCAAUCAGAAACCAAGAUUUCUUGUAUGAAUUUACUAUGAAAUAUACUAGCAAGUCCUGCCAUUUGAAAAUGGCAGGACUGAAAUACGAGUCGCGUGUAAAUCAAUGUAGAGUUGCAGUUGCUAGGUAACAGACACGGCAAGCUGUAAAAUUGCGUAAAUAUAACAGAAUGCGAAAAACUUUUUAAAAAAUAAUAACGAAAAAGACGAGAAAAUGAGACAAAAUAACAAUAUGAUAAUGAUAAAUUUUUAAAGCUUCAAGAUAAAUAAAGCAAUGCUUUAGUACGGAAAUUUGGGGAAAUUUUUAGUCCUGCUGGGCAGGACAAGCAGGA